UACGGGGGGGGCAAGCGUUGUUCGGAAUUACUGGGCGUAAAGGGCUCGUAGGCGGCCAACUAAGUCAGACGUGAAAUCCCUCGGCUUAACCGGGGAACUGCGUCUGAUACUGGAUGGCUAGAGGUUGGGAGAGGGAUGCGGAAUUCCAGGUGUAGCGGUGAAAUGCGUAGAUAUCUGGAGGAAUACCGGUGGCGAAGGCGGCAUCCUGGACCGGCAUUGACGCUGAGGAGCGAAAGCUAGGGGAGCAAACGGG
rnacentral:rRNA from 1 species